rnacentral:rRNA from 1 species
AUUGAACGCUGGCGGCAUGCCUUACACAUGCAAGUCGAACGGCAGCACGGGUGCUUGCACCUGGUGGCGAGUGGCGAACGGGUGAGUAAUACAUCGGAACAUGUCCUGUAGUGGGGGAUAGCCCGGCGAAAGCCGGAUUAAUACCGCAUACGAUCUACGGAUGAAACCGGGGGCCCUUCGGGCCUCGCGCUAUAGGGUUGGCCGAUGGCUGAUUAGCUAGUUGGUGGGGUAAAGGCCUACCAAGGCGACGAUCAGUAGCUGGUCUGAGAGGACGACCAGCCACACUGGGACUGAGACACGGCCCAGACUCCUACGGGAGGCAGCAGUGGGGAAUUUUGGACAAUGGGCGAAAGCCUGAUCCAGCAAUGCCGCGUGUGUGAAGAAGGCCUUCGGGUUGUAAAGCACUUUUGUCCGGAAAGAAAUCCUUGGCCCUAAUACGGUCGGGGGAUGACGGUACCGGAAGAAUAAGCACCGGCUAACUACGUG